GAAGUGCGAUAAGCAAUGCGAAUUGCAGAACCGUGAGUCAUCAGAUUUUUGAACGCAACUGGCGCCGACUGGUUCUCUAGUCGGCAUGCUUGUUUCAGUGUCUCGUUUUCUCCUCACCCAAAUCAUAAUGCGAGAGAUACCCUUCUCUUGUUAAAUAUGAAGGUACUCUGUACUCUGCAAGUGAGAUUGUUAACUCAGUCUCACACUCAAUGCAGCAGUCACAUUUUCAAUGUGAACUCAUUGAGAGUAGAGGCAGUCAGCUUUGGCUGAAAGUACUUAGAAACUUAAACUUUAUCUGUAUCUGAAAUCAAGCAGGACCACCCGCUGAACUUAA
rnacentral:misc_RNA from 1 species